CCACACUGGAACUGAGACACGGUCCAGACUCCUACGGGAGGCAGCAGUGGGGAAUUUUGGACAAUGGGCGCAAGCCUGAUCCAGCCAUGCCGCGUGAGUGAAGAAGGCCUUCGGGUUGUAAAGCUCUUUCAGCCGGGAAGAAAACGCAUGGGUUAAUACCCUGUGUGGAUGACGGUACCGGAAUAAGAAGCACCGGCUAACUACGUGCCAGCAGCCGCGGUAAUACGUAGGGUGCGAGCGUUAAUCGGAAUUACUGGGCGUAAAGCGUGCGCAGGCGGUUUUGUAAGACAGGCGUGAAAUCCCCGGGCUCAACCUGGGAACUGCGUUUGUGACUGCAAGGCUAGAGUAUGGCAGAGGGGGGUGGAAUUCCACGUGUAGCAGUGAAAUGCGUAGAGAUGUGGAGGAACACCGAUGGCGAAGGCAGCCCCCUGGGCCAAUACUGACGCUCAUGCACGAAAGCGUGGGUAGCAAACAGGAUUAGAUACCCUGGUAGUCCACGCCCUAAACGAUGUCAACUAGGUGUUGGGUGGGUAAAACCAUUUAGUACCGGAGCUAACGCGUGAAGUUGACCGCC
rnacentral:rRNA from 1 species